GACGAACGCUGGCGGCGUGCUUAACACAUGCAAGUCGAACGGAAAGGCCCUGCUUUUGUGGGGUGCUCGAGUGGCGAACGGGUGAGUAACACGUGAGUAACCUGCCCUUGACUUUGGGAUAACUUCAGGAAACUGGGGCUAAUACCGGAUAGGAGCUCCUGCUGCAUGGUGGGGUUUGGAAAGUUUCGGCGGUUGGGGAUGGACUCGCGGCUUAUCAGCUUGUUGGUGGGGUAGUGGCUUACCAAGGCUUUGACGGGUAGCCGGCCUGAGAGGGUGACCGGCCACAUUGGGACUGAGAUACGGCCCAGACUCCUACGGGAGGCAGCGGUGGGGAAUAUUGCACAAUGGGCGGAAGCCUGAUGCAGCAACGCCGCGUGCGGGAUGACGGCCUUCGGGUUGUAAACCGCUUUCGCCUGUGACGAAGCGUGAGUGACGGUAAUGGGUAAAGAAGCACCGGCUAACUACGUG
rnacentral:rRNA from 1 species